rnacentral:tRNA from 1 species
GGGCCAGUAGCUCAGUUGGUUAGAGCACGCGCUUGAUAAGCGCGGGGUCGAAAGUUCAAGUCUUUCCUGGCCCA